GGGGGUUGGAAGUACCAGGCUCUGUUGGCCUGCUGUGCAACUGAUAUUUCUAGCAUCAGAAUCUUUUGGAACUCAGAGUUGCAUUUUAUCUGAUUAAGAAUUUUGCUACCUCUGUUGCCCCAGUCAACUCUCAUCUUGGACUAAGCAAAGACCCUCACAGUGGAGCAGAGCAGUGGAAGUAGAGAAAUGGAGGAUGAGGCCAGUUUUUUAAAUAACAUAUUCCAAUGCCUUCUGGGCACACUCAACCUAUCUGUACUCUGCUUGAUUUGGACUCUUUCAUUCGGCAACCACGAACUUCCAGUUGCAAGCAGGGGCUUUAUGGGGCUGUAAAGAUGUAAAGAAUCGUUUCCACUGCACCCCACAUUUACCUCUUGAAGCAGCAUUCCCAUCAGACUAUAGGUGGAAUGCAGCAGCUGCCCUGAGGAACUGCUGUCCUGGAGGUAAGGAAGUAAAAGGCAACUUUGGGAAAGUAGACGUAGAGAGUUGUGUGGAGAAGCCGUGGUGGGAUAUGUUUCUUAUGUCUUAAAGGAUUGGAUACUGAAAGACAAAUCGCCUCUCAAAAUAGCAUUCCGCAAGACUGUGGUUGAUAGGGGUGGGCUAGCGUCUGAGUUAUGUGGAUCUUUCUUCAUCAGCUCAUUUGUGCAGCUUGGCUCAUGAACACCUGACUACUCUGGAUGUUAAUUCUUGAUGUGGAAAACAAUACAUUCACAUGAGAUUUGGGAUUAGGAUGAUUCUUUAAACUACUGUGAUUUCUCUUAAGCAUAUCCUGACUGUAUGCAAACUUGGGCAGAGUGGCAAAGAGAAAUAUGCACAUGUAUAACACAGGCAAGUCAAAAGGCAAUUCUGUUUUAACAUGCCAGGUUUUAUAAAAAACCUCUUGAUUUCCUACGUUUUAUGAAAAAAGGAAGAUAUUUUUAUGAAUGAAAUAAACUAUUUUAUAUUAAAGAUUAAAAUGGAAAAUGUAUUCCUUUUGGGCCUUUCUAUAUCUUAUUAGUAGGGAAGAAAUAAAGCAAUUUUGUAACCCUUUUAUUAAUAAUUCCAAAGUUUCGUUUAACUUUUGAACAAUUUUGUUGUAACAGACAGUAAAACAGAAUACAACUGAUAGAAUACAAAUUGUUGUAAAGAACUAUUAAUUUGUUAUUUUAAGAUUAUUGGUUUAUUAUUUAUCAAACAUACAUAUGAUGGGUAUUGCGCUAGGCACUGAGAGUAUAGUGAUGAACUCCAUGUGUCUUAAGCAUAUAUCUCAAAGUACCAAUUAAACUGACAAGAGAGUCACUUGAAAUAGAGAUUCCUCCCUCUCUAUGUUAAUAUUUUAUAUUCCUUAUAAACUGCAUUUUUGGGGGUCAUUUAAUUGAGCUGAGGAUGCCUAGAUGUGACAUUAUUGUAUGGGAUAGAGAUGCACAGGCUGCUUUUCUGAGGGCUCAACACAAAUCUGAUUUACCUCAACAAAAAUCCCAUCAGAGCGGACGGUAGAGACCCACACUGCAUCAAGGCCUCAGGAUGAGAAAGGAGGAGGAAGACUCAUUCCUAAUGACUCCAACCUGAGCAAAACUGAGCUAAGGCUCUAAUAGGCAUAUCCGACAUCCAUGUGAGCCAGAGCUCUCCAGUAGGACAGGGAUACGUGACUUUUGUGGACACUAAAUGUAUCCAGGGAAUUAUAAUAGAAUCACUUUGGUCAUUGGAACUAAAUUGAUUUCACUGCUGAAGAUAUACUGAACCUAUAUCAAGAGAGCUUGUUAGUAAAUUAUUGGGAAGAAUGAAAUGCGGUGGAUGUAUUUAGCUAACUUUUUUUUAUAGAGAGAGAGACGGGGUUUCACCGUGUUGGCCAGGAUGAUCUUGAUCUCUUGACCUUGUGAUCCGCCCGUCUCGGCCUCCCAAAGUGCUGGGAUUACAGGCGUGAACCACCACGCCAGUUAACUCAUAAUUGAAAGCAGUUGUGAUGAGCCUUAGUACUGGUAUUUGUUUUUUCGAUUAAUUCUUUUUUUCAGUUCUAACCAAGUAACCCAAAUAAGUGUUGUGUGUUGUAAAUACAUAUUUGUACCAAAUACAGCCUCAUACAUAUCU